rnacentral:ncRNA from 1 species
AAGAAACCAAACUUUUGCUGCACUAAGAAAGACAAUUGAAGGACCUACCAUGUUGUAUAAGCCAUUAACUGAGCUCUCUUCAACGCGUUGUUCUAUGAGCUCGUGAAGGAAAGGCAGCUUAAGGUACCUACAAUCAAGAUCGACUUUCCCUGCAAUACAUGUAGAGCUGAACGAGGACAACUGUGGUAUAUGUAGCUCAUAAAUCAACCUACAUAACGGUUAUAAAGGUGAGAUCCCGAAACCCGUUUUAAAAUUUUGGUGAGAGGUCAAACUGAGUGGCGGGAAACUUUUCCGACGACCUAAUAAAAGGGGUUCUCCGUUCUAUUUAUUGGUUAAGAAAGUGGAAUGUCGGGUAAAGGAGACAAGUUGGAGGCACUCGUAUCCCUGGGCGAGAGAAAUUUGUGGACCGCAGGGAGACCCCCUAAAGCGAUAGCAUUCGCCAAGAAUGUCUUCAUUAAUCAAAAGCGAAAAUCAGAGGUUUAAAGGCGAUUAGAUACCGCCCUAGUUGUGAACGUAAACUAUGCCAUCUAGCGAUCCAAUGUAGCUAAACGGACUGCAGUUGAGAUCGAGUGCCUAGGAGUUAUGACAUUUUUGAUGUUUCGUGAGCGUUUGCGAGCAUUA